GGCGCCGUCCUGCAGUGCCCGCCAGCUGGGCUAGGAGAGACCCGCGCCCCAGGCAUGCCCGAGCCCAGCUAGAGGGCGGGAGGGUGGCGGGCACUCUGGCCCCAACCCUGGCACCCGAAGCAUCCCCCGCGUUUCCUGCUCCUCACUCAGCCUUCAGACCCCAGCCCAGCGCCCCCGGUACAAUGGGGAGCCAGGGUGCCUGGGUCAGCCGCAAGGGCCAGCGAACCAGGCGGAGGACAGGCAGGGCGCAGGGGACCCCAUCUACCAGUCCUCCCGCCCCAGGUCUCUCCCUGCUGCGGAGGAGGCAGAACCGGACCGGCAUCCCCCGCAGCCCGGAAUCCCAGGAGUGGUCGCUGAACCCUCACCCUGCGGAGCUCCUGGGCACCCAGAGAUGAAAACAUUGAGAUUCAGAGCGGUGUAAUGAACUGAGGUCAUGCUGCUGCCUCCAGAUGAGCAAAAAGGAAAAACUCUGGCAUUUCCCACUUCCUCAGCAUCCUCCACCUCCUCAGCUGCUCACACCAGCGCUGGGAUGCAGGUAGGUUGCCCCAGUUGAGGAGGGAGGAAACUGAGGCCCAGGGAUGGGGAGGGACUUGCCCAGGGUCAUACAGCAAAGCCACGGCUGAGCCUGGACUCAGGCCCAGGGCUCAGCACAGCUGGGUCAGUGCUCAGGGGCUUUCUUUAGCCCUGCCGGCCCCACCUGGUUGUUGCCUUGGCCUCCUGAGAAACGUGGUCAGCAAUCAAGGCCGCUCUGCCCUUCCGCUGCAUGCGGUGGGGAUGGAAAUUGCAUCAGUGGCCAGAGGGAGGACCCUUAACUGCCUUCUUUCUCAGCACCACUAGUUUUGCCUCCUAGGCACCACUCGUUUGGAGGAGAUAGUCAGGGGCAGGAGGGAAACUGAGGCCCAGACUCCAGGGACUGGGAUCGGGCCCGCUCAAUAGCCCGUGUGACCUCAGGCAAGUCUCCGGGUCUCAGCAUUGCCCUCUGUGAAAUUCGCUCACAAUCUCUGCCCUUGCCACCAGCUGUCUUCCACCCUGGUGGGGUCAGAUCAAAGGAAUCAGUGGACAGAAUUUGCUGAACCUGGGAGGGCCAGACACGGGAAAACAGAGCAGUGGGCGAGUGUGGCCCUCACCCUUGAGCCUGAUCCUAGUCACUCUGGGCUCUUUCCCCACCCAAGGGUUGGGUCCUAGGCGCACUGCUGUUGGGAAUGUGGGACAGCUUCCCAUGACAUCCCCAUCCCCUGCCACCCCAGUAACUCCCCACCUGUGAGCCCAGGCCCGGGGACAGGGGGAUGGACUGUUCGA